UUAUUAUGGAUCUGUUUGCUGUGCUGGAUUCUUUUGGAAGGAAGAGACAGCAAGAUGUGAAAAAUGCCCUACAGGGUUUUACCGAACAAACUGUUCAGAGAGAUGCAAGUAUCCAAAUUUUGGGGAAGACUGCCAAGGCGCAUGUACCUGUGCAGAAUACUUAUGUAAUUUUGUUACAGGUUGUGAUAACUAUCCGUUAACAACAGGGAAACUUCGUCCUGAAUCGAAUCUUCCGGCUUCAACAUUUUUUUCUGCUGAGGAAUCCACAUAUAUUAAAAUUGUAUAUAAGGAAAUCAUUGUAACAGAGCAAUCCGUCGCCACAUCUGGGGGAAGCGAUUAUUUUCAAAUGGGAAUAUUUAUUCUUGUUGGAAUUCUUGUUGUAUUUAUUGGUCUUUUUGUUGUCGCUUACUUUUACAAACACUUUCAUGUUAAAAGAGAUGAAAUAAAAAUACAGACCCACUUACGUAAUCAAGAAUUAGAGUACAAGGGACUUGAUUUUGAAAAGAUGGAAACAAAUGAAAUACAUGAAUUUCACAAUGACCCAAUACGAACUGAACCAGCGUAUUUGCAGGCAGUGGACAACAUAUCUGCACAGUACGAAGACGUGGUAUCAAAAAACACAUCAUCUGAUUCUGACUGCGAACAAUACAGAGGGAGCACGAAUUCUGAAUCUGAACAAUGCAGAGAAAACACAAAUACCAUAUCAGAAGAUGCGAAACGUAUAUUGAAAGAAAAUACUUACCUUUCACCAGAGAGCACGACCACUCACGUUUAUGUUGAAGUUGAAGAAAGUAACUUCUAUCAGUAAAGCGACAAAAACUCUUUUUAACACUGUUGGAAAAUGUACUUGCUGACAGUUUUCUUAAAAAAUGACGACAUGUUUUGUAGUUAUCAGUUCUGUCUUAAAUGGUGUCAAACAGUAAAUGUAAUAUCACUCCAAGAUUUCAGAGUAGAAAUAUUGGAAGAUUUUCAAAUUCUCCAUUUCG